AGGGCUCGUAGGUGGUUGAUCGCGUCGGAAGUGUAAUCUUGGGGCUUAACCCUGAGCGUGCUUUCGAUACGGGUUGACUUGAGGAAGGUAGGGGAGAAUGGAAUUCCUGGUGGAGCGGUGGAAUGCGCAGAUAUCAGGAGGAACACCAGUGGCGAAGGCGGUUCUCUGGGCCUUUCCUGACGCUGAGGAGCGAAAGCGUGGGGAGCGAACAGGCUUAGAUACCCUGGUAGUCCACGCUGUAAACGGUGGGUACUAGGUGUGGGGUCCAUUCCACGGGUUCCGUGCCGUAGCUAACGCUUUAAGUACCCCGCCUGGGGAGUACGGCCGCAAGGCUAAAACUCAAAGGAAUUGACGGGGCCCCGCACAAGCGGCGGAGCAUGCGGAUUAAUUCGAUGCAACGCGUAGAACCUUACCUGGGUUUGACAUGGAUCGGGAGUGCUCAGAGAUGGGUGUGCCUCUUUUGGGGUCGGUUCACAGGUGGUGCAUGGCUGUCGUCAGCUCGUG
rnacentral:rRNA from 1 species